rnacentral:rRNA from 1 species
AGAGUUUGAUCCUGGCUCAGAGUGAACGCUGGCGGCGUGCUUAACACAUGCAAGUCGAACGAGAACGGAUUUAAGCUUGCUUAAAUUGUCAGCUAAGUGGCGCACGGGUGAGUAAUAUAUAGGUAACAUGCCCCAAAAAAGAGGAUAACGUUUGGAAACGAACGCUAAUACUCUAUAUGCCUUUAAGUCAUAAGACUGCAAGGGAAAUAUUUAUAGCUUUGGGAUUGGCCUGUACGGUAUCAGCUAGUUGGUGAGGUAAGAGCUCACCAAGGCAAUGACACCUAACUGGUUUGAGAGGAUGAUCAGUCACACUGGAACUGAGACACGGUCCAGACUCCUACGGGAGGCAGCGGCAGGGAAUAUUGCACAAUGGGCGAAAGCCUGAUGCAGCGACACCGCGUGCGGGAUGACGGCCUUAGGGUUGUAAACCGCUUUCAGGAGGGAAGAAAAUGACGGUACCUCCAGAAGAAGCUCCGCCAAC